AUAUCAUUAGAUUCUCCAAAGUCCAAACACUCCUUAGGCCACCGCUUUCUCCCCUCCCUCUCGAUCCCCACCCUCCCUCUCUCAAUUUUUUAUUUGACUUUUUCUCCGGAUCUCAAAAAUUCCCAAUUUUAUUAACUUCAAUUCAGGGUUUUUAAUUAAAAAAAAGGAAAAAAAAAUCAACAGAUUAGGGUUUUAGGGUUUUUUUUCCCGAUCUGCUAAUCUUUUUAUUAUUUCAAUUUUGUGUUUUAUUUUAUUUGUACGGGGGAAUCGGAAUGGUGGGUUCUCAGAGUCCUAACGGAACUGCGGCGAAGAGGUACGGAAUAAUGAAACCAAUCUCCGUCGCGGGUCCUACUGAACCUGAUCUCCAUCGAAAUGCGGAAUUAGAGAAGUUUUUGGUUGAUUCGGGUUUAUACGAGAGCAAAGAAGAGGCUAUGAAGAGAGAAGAUGUUCUGGGCCGUAUCGAUCAGAUUGUGAAAGACUGGGUUAAGCGAUUGACGCGUCAAAGGGGAUAUACUGAUCAGAUGGUAGAGGAAGCCAAUGCUGUUAUUUUUACUUUCGGGUCUUAUCGUCUUGGGGUGCAUGGUCCUGGGGCUGACAUAGACACCUUGUGUGUUGGACCAUCAUAUGUGAAUCGAGAGGGAGACUUCUUUAUUGUCUUGCAUGAUAAGCUGGCUGAGAUGGAAGAAGUUACUGAACUUCAGCCAGUUCCAGAUGCUCAUGUCCCGGUUAUGAAGUUUAAAUUCCAGGGAAUAUCAAUUGACCUUCUUUAUGCAAGUAUAUCCCUUUUGGUUGUUCCAGAAGACCUGGACAUCUCCAAUGGGUCUGUGCUCUACGAAGUGGAUGAGCAAACUGUUCGAAGUCUAAAUGGGUGCAGGGUUGCUGAUCAAAUUCUUAAACUUGUUCCAAAUGUUGAGCACUUUCGGGCAACACUCAGAUGUCUGAAGUUUUGGGCUAAAAGGCGCGGUGUUUAUUCAAAUGUUACUGGUUUCCUUGGUGGAGUAAACUGGGCUCUUCUAGUUGCCCGAGUGUGCCAGCUUUAUCCUAAUGCUAUUCCUAGUAUGCUAGUCUCUCGGUUCUUCAGAGUUUAUACACAAUGGCGUUGGCCGAAUCCUGUGAUGCUAUGCUCAAUAGAAGAAGAUGCACUUGGGUUUCCUGUGUGGGAUCCUCGCAAAAAUCCUCGAGACCGGUUUCAUCAUAUGCCAAUAAUAACUCCUGCAUAUCCUUGCAUGAAUUCUAGCUAUAAUGUGUCUACAAGUACUCUUCGUGUUAUGACAGAGCAAUUCCAAAGUGGUAACAGGAUAUGUGAGAAGAUUGAGCUGAACAAGGAACAGUGGAGUGCUCUUUUUGAGCCUUAUCUUUUCUUUGAGGCAUACAAAAAUUACCUGCAAGUUGACAUAGUUGCAGCAGAUGCUGUUGAUUUGCUAGCUUGGAAAGGCUGGGUAGAGUCUCGGCUUAGACAACUUACCUUGAAGAUAGAGCGGGACACUGAUGGGAUGCUGCAGUGCCAUCCUUAUCCAAAUGAGUAUAUAGAUCCGUCCAAGCAAUGCGCUCAUUGUGCUUUCUUCAUGGGUUUGCAGAGGAAAGAGGGAGUGACUGGCCAGGAGGGCCAGCAAUUUGAUAUACGGGGAACGGUUGAUGAGUUUAGGCAAGAUAUAAACAUGUACUUGCCUUGGAAACCAGGGAUGGAUAUAUAUGUCUCUCAUGUUCGUAGAAGACAGCUUCCGGGCUUUGUUUUCCCUGAUGGGUACAAGCGUUCUCGACCAUCACGACAUGUGAACCAACAGACUAACAGGACUAGUGAAGAUGUUGCAAGAUCCCAGUCUGGGUCUGCUGAGAGACAUGUUAAGCGGAAAAAUGAUUGUGAAAUGGCAGAUUUGAAGCCAGUUAAACCAGAGAAACGGGCGUCUACAAGCCCACAAAGACUGCAGUCUGUUUCUCCUUCUAGUAGUGCUGGUAGGUCUGGUAUGACAUCUCUGGCUAGUUCCUGUGAAGGGGUUAUAUUAGGGUGUUCAACCAUUGGGGACAUUGUUAGCAACUGCGAGGAUGUUGCUAGCAACUCCGAGGUUAGGUCAACUAGUUGGCAGUUAGAGAGUGAAAAAAGUGAUUUGGGGGAUGCUAGGCAGCUGGGUGUGACUGUCUAUCAGGAGUCACCCUCAAAUCGGCAGACCUCAAUGGAUGUACAUGAUUCACCAAUAGUUAGGAAUGAGCUAGAACCAGCUGAUCAUAUGAAUGGCUCAGAGCCAAUGGGAUUGAUGUUUGAUCGAAUUACAAAGCAGGAGGUGGUCAGUUCACAUGAAGUGCCAAAUUUUGAAACUGGGGAAAAACAUGAGGUUGGCGUGAAUGAAAACAUUGAGGAUUUGGGGUCAAAUUUCUUGGAGAAUGGAUCUUCAAGGAAACUGAUGAAUUGGGUUGGGGGUGCUAGUCGAGGCAUGGAGGUGGACCAAGAACUUGUCAAACCAUGUAGUCAGACAGCUGUUGUAGAAUUUGCUGAAAGUGUUAUAAGUUCACAUUCUGGCUCUCAGAACCUCAACUACGAGGGUAAUGUGUGUGCUGUGGAUGCGGAUUCACUUCUGGAAAGUGGAUGUUUGAAUGUGAGUGGAGCUGAGUAUUAUUGCAGAACAGCUUGCCAGAAGAAUUAGAGGUUUAAACUCUGAAUUGCUGCUGUACUUUACUAUUACUAUAUAAUAAAGAAUUUUCUACAUUUACUCACUGUGUUGCCUGUUCAUUUCUCUUUCUUUCCUCCUCUUCCCUUGGAACUGGGUCAAUGCGACAAUGGCUCUGUCUUUAUGAAAAUUUUAUGUGGAGAAUCAUGCAUUUGGAUUCCAGAAAUUUGUUAGAGACCUACAGCCUUGUAAUCCUUGCAGUAGGAAAUCAGGACCUAAUGUUGAAUGGUUCCAUGCAACGAGAUCUUUACUGUUGGCAGAUCCAAAAUUAGCAGAUGAAUUUGAAACGUCUGAAUUGUUCUUUUAUAUUCUAGGUUUCAUCUUUGCACAACUACUGUAAGGUUCUGUAAUUAAUACUUGUUCAAUAGUCUUACCAUGCUAAUUGUUUUGCACAGAGUAUCUCCCAACUGGUGCAUGUGUGGUGACUGGUCCUGCACCACUAUAAGUGCUAUGUUUCCACCGAAGACUGCAAUUGGGAAAGUUUUAAAUUCUCAAGAUGGUGCUAGGUCAGAAUCUUUGCAGAAGCCAAUGAUAAGGCAUGCAUUUUAAAACCCUGAUUUUCAUCAUGUUAAUCAUGGUAUCUUUAUGCUGUCCUGUUUGGUUGGUUGCAUGGCUCUCUCUUUGCAGGUUGAGUCUGAAGUCAACCGCGUAGCAUUGUGCAAGGGGGAACACUGUUAUGUAAUCACUGUUUAUAAAGGAAAGGACCAGCAACUUGGUAAGUUAAACUUUAAUUGCUGGCUUUCUUUGUGGGUUUCUUGGUGUGUGUUCGGCACUACCUUGUGGACUGGGACAGGUCAGCCAUGAAUUAAACUGUCAAUAGCUCAGUGGUUUGGCCAAGUUUUGGGUGUGCGUUCCUUUGCUGCGUUUGGCAGAAGCUGUAAACUUCCUGGUGCCAAGAAACUGUUGAGCAUGCUGGUGCUUUGAAGACUUUGUGCGUUGUUAUAGAGUUGUAUUUGUUGUUUCCUUGUGGGCGUGGGGAAUUCACUUAGGCAGUUCCCCCCCAGGUGGGUGAGGAUAGUUUCCUUCCAAUGAAAUGUCUAUGUGGAAUCAACUAUACUGCAAACAAGAUCAACUUGGUUGUGUGAUUUGUAAAGGUAUUUUUGUCUUUGUAUACUCGACUUCUUGUAUGUAAGUUUAUUUAGUAA